rnacentral:rRNA from 1 species
UACGAAGGGGGCUAGCGUUGCUCGGAAUCACUGGGCGUAAAGCGCACGUAGGCGGAUUGUUAAGUCAGGGGUGAAAUCCUGGAGCUCAACUCCAGAACUGCCUUUGAUACUGGCGAUCUUGAGUUCGGGGAGAGGUGAGUGGAACUGCGAGUGUAGAGGUGAAAUUCGUAGAUAUUCGCAAGAACACCCAGUGGCGAAGGCGGCUCACUGGCCCGGAUACUGACGCUGAGGCACGAAAGCGUGGGGAGCAAACAGG